GGCUCAGGAUGAACGCUGGCGGCCGUGCUUAACACAUGCAAGUCGAACGAAGCACUUUGAUCGAUUUCUUCGGAUUGAAAUUUAGUGACUGAGUGGCGGACGGGUGAGUAACGCGUGGGUAACCCUGCCUCACACAGGGGGAUAACAGUUGGAAACGGCUGCUAAUACCGCAUAAGCGCACAGUACCGCAUGGUACAGUGUGAAAAACUCCGGUGGUGUGGGAUGGACCCGCGUCUGAUUAGCUAGUUGGCAGGGCAACGGCCUACCAAGGCGACGAUCAGUAGCCGACCUGAGAGGGUGACCGGCCACAUUGGGACUGAGACACGGCCCAAACUCCCUACGGGAGGCAGCAGUGGGGAAUAUUGCACAAUGGGGGAAACCCUGAUGCAGCGACGCCGCGUGAGCGAAGAAGUAUUUCGGUAUGUAAAGCUCUAUCAGCAGGGAAGAAGAAAUGACGGUACCUGACUAAGAAGCACCGGCUAAAUACGUG
rnacentral:rRNA from 1 species